rnacentral:tRNA from 1 species
GGCGCCAUAGCCAAGUGGUAAGGCGAAGGUCUGCAAAACCUUUAUUCUCCAGUUCAAAUCUGGAUGGCGCCUCCA